ACCGAUAUUUUGUAAUUCAUAGGAUUACCAUAACAACUAUGAUGUAAGUUAAAGUAGUUAAUCUUAUUGCUUCAAUACUCUAAUGUAUUUUGUCAGGGAUGAAUUUAACUUCGGUGUUUAUUUCAAUUAAAUGCAAUCGUAUCUGAUAUGUUUUCAGACACUGUUACCCACCGGGUAGCAAGUUGUUACACUUAAUUCUUCUAAAUCAUCAU
rnacentral:lncRNA from 1 species